rnacentral:rRNA from 1 species
AUGAAGAUGGAGCCGGCCGCCGGAAAAAGGCCAAGAACCACCGAUCGGACCUGUGCAAGACCAACAAGUAUUGCUGACCGCAUCAGCGAUCUACCUGAUGCCAUCCUCGGUGAGAUCAUCUCCCUUCUUUCCACCAAGGACGCCGCUCGCACCCAAGCCCUCGCGUCUCGGUGGCGCCAUCUAUGGCGCACCGCCUCUCUUAACCUCGACUUCCGUGGCCUCCCUGCCAAUCACACUGAUGUCCUCCCCGGCAUCAUCCUCGCCGCCCACGAGGGACUGGUUCACCGUCUCUGCCUCCCGGCGCGUUACCUCUCAGACAAAGCCGCUGCCAUGGAAGCCUGGAUCCAAUCCCCUGCUCUGGAUAAGCUCCAGGAGCUCGACUUCUACCUACUAGAGCUGCCAAAUACAUGUGUAGAUCUGCAAUCGCCACCGGCGUCCAUCUUCCGAUUCUCGUCCACUCUCCGCGUGGCCACCAUCAGCAUGUGCUCUCUCAUGGACUAUUCUGUUGAAACACUCCGCUUUCCUCAGCUCAGGAAGUUUGCACUGGUGGCAGUCGACAUCUCGGAGGACUCGUUGUGCCACGUUAUCAACACAUGCUGCCCUGCCCUAGAGUGCUUGCUGCUGAGAACCAAUUUUAACGUUCAUGGUGUCAGGAUCAACUCCCCUACCCUUCAAAGUGUAGGUAUUCAUGCGAGCGUUGUAGAACUCACCGUUGAGAAUGCCCCGUCACUUGAAAGGUUGCUCUGCUUGAAAAUGCAUAUGAAAAUGAUAGUGUCAGUAGUCUCCGCGCCCAAACUGGAGACCUUGGGUUGCAUUUCUCACCAUGAAUGGGGCUCCAAAAUCAUGUUUGGCACCACAGUUAUCGAGGUAGCUAUGCCCAUUGUACUUCUUGCUAGAUUUCGGUGUCCACAAAGGUUAUGUAUGUUUUCUAUACUGAUUUAUGUCUUAAUAUUGUGUUCCAUGAUUCAUAAAGGGUUUGCGCGUUGA